rnacentral:rRNA from 1 species
GAUGAACGCUGGCGGCGUGCUUAACACAUGCAAGUCGAACGAAGCACUUUAUUUGAUUUCCUUCGGGACUGAUUAUUUUGUGACUGAGUGGCGGACGGGUGAGUAACGCGUGGGUAACCUGCCUUGUACAGGGGGAUAACAGUUAGAAACGGCUGCUAAUACCGCAUAAGCGCACAGCAUCGCAUGAUGCAGUGUGAAAAACUCCGGUGGUAUAAGAUGGACCCGCGUUGGAUUAGCUAGUUGGUGAGGUAACGGCCCACCAAGGCGACGAUCCAUAGCCGACCUGAGAGGGUGACCGGCCACAUUGGGACUGAGACACGGCCCAAACUCCUACGGGAGGCAGCAGUGGGGAAUAUUGCACAAUGGGCGAAAGCCUGAUGCAGCGACGCCGCGUGAGCGAAGAAGUAUUUCGGUAUGUAAAGCUCUAUCAGCAGGGAAGAUAAUGACGGUACCUGACUAAGAAGCACCGGCUAAAUACGUG